rnacentral:lncRNA from 1 species
AAUGUAAAAUAUAUAAAUAAAUGUUAAAUAAGUUAGACUACUGGUAUUAGAUAUAAAUAUUAAUUUUAUAAUAUUGAGUAUUCACAUAUAAAUUAUACAUUAAAAAAUAAAAUAAAAUUGAUGCAGUUUAAGUUAAUUUUAUAUUUGACGAAAAUUAAUUGCAAGAAUCACAAACAAUGAUUUCUCUUCUCAUUCACUAACUACUGGGGGACUACAAUACCUAGUAAAAUUAUUUCACUAACUAAUAGGGGACUAUUAUGCCUACUAAAAUUUUUUGAUAUACUUAUUGCAUCAUUUAAAUUCUGAAAUUAAUUUUUAUAACUAAAUUUUAAAAUUAAAUUUUAAAAUAACUACCAGUAGUAUCGCGCGGGUCCCUUAACUAGUUUUAAUUAAUAAGUUGAAACGUAGGGCCGGCAUAAAUGGAAUUAAUUAAUGAUGGAGUAGAAUGUUGGGGGUCUCCAACGUUCUAUUCACAGCCCUUUUACACUGCCUCUUACGCUGUUCAUGAAAUACGGACAUUGGAGAGAGAGAGAAGAAAAAAGAGAAGAAGUAUUUUUAAUUUUCUAUUCUAUUCAAUUUUUUAAUUUUUUUUUAUCAUCGGGUGUUGAAAGAGUCUUCGUCGCGCAUUCGUGCUCUUCCGCAUUCGUGCUCGUAGGAGGAGGAAUUCCGGUCGUAUCUUGGGACGGUGUUUCCGAUUAAUGCCGCAUGAAGGACGGAAAUACACCUUAGGGCAAUGUCUCGCACGCUUCCGGAGCAAAUUAAUCUUGAAUUUCCUCUUAUAUAAUUUAUUUUGAAAUUAAGCAAUCAUCUGUAAGUCUGAUUUUAUCUUUACCAUAAAAUUAGUUAGAUCUUUAAUUACAAUCAGAUUUCUGUAUGGUAUUUGUUCUACCAUUUUCUUCUUCAGCUCGA